AGUGAACGCUGGCGGUAGGCCUAACACAUGCAAGUCGAACGGCAGCACAGUAAUAGCUUGCUCUUACGGUUGGCGAGUGGCGUACGUGUGAGGAAUACAUCGUAAUCUACUUUUUCGUUGGUGAUAACGUAGGGAAACUUACUCUAAUACCGCAUACGACCUUCGGUUGAAAGCAUGUGAUCUUCUUACCUUUCGCGUUUGUUUGAGCCGAUGUCGGAUUAGCUAGUUGGCGGGGUAAAGGCCCACCAAGGCGACGAUCCGUAGCUGGUCUGAGAGGAUGAUAAGCAAAAAUGGAACUGAGACAGGGACCAGACACCGACGGGAGGGAGCAGGGGGGAAGAUUGGACAAUGGGCGGAAGCAUGAUACAGCAAUACCGAGUGGGUGAAGAAGGCCUUCGGGUUGUAAAGCCCUUUUGUUGGGAAAGAAAAGAAGAAGGUUAAUAACACGCUGUUCUGACGGUACCCAAAGAAUAAGCACCGGCUAACUUCGUG
rnacentral:rRNA from 1 species